rnacentral:tRNA from 1 species
AGUAGCUCAGUCGGUUAGAGCACCUGACUGUUAAUCAGGGGGUCGAUGGUUCAAGUCCAUCCU